rnacentral:rRNA from 1 species
AUACAGAGGGUGCGAGCGUUAAUCGGAUUUACUGGGCGUAAAGCGCGCGUAGGUGGUUAAUUAAGUCAAAUGUGAAAUCCCCGAGCUUAACUUGGGAAUUGCAUUCGAUACUGGUUAGCUAGAGUAUGGGAGAGGAUGGUAGAAUUCCAGGUGUAGCGGUGAAAUGCGUAGAGAUCUGGAGGAAUACCGAUGGCGAAGGGAGCCAUCUGGCCUAAUACUGACACUGAGGUGCGAAAGCAUGGGGAGCAAACAGGAUUAGAUACCCUGGUAGUCCAUGCCGUAAACGAUGUCUACUAGCCGUUGGGGGAUUUGAUCCUUUAGUGGCGCAGCUAACGCGAUAAGUAGACCGCCUGGGGAGUACGGUCGCAAGACUAAAACUCAAAUGAAUUGACGGGG